rnacentral:lncRNA from 10 species
GUGCUCAAAGGGUAGAACGGCUCUUUUGGAAUUCUCAGAUAUAUUUGGCCAGGUUUACCUAGAGGAGAACACGUUGUUUUUAAUGAAAGGGAUUUAAAGUCACAGUGCACCUUAAGGUGAUGACUUUCUGAAUGGAUGCUCUUUCAUGAGACCCAAGUUGCGAGGUAUAAUUUACAUGCAGUGAUAUGUACAAAUCUUCAGUGAAUGGGUUGAUGAAUGUUUGCCUAUGUAUACCUACAUGUAAUCACUACUCAGAUCAAAAUAGACAACCUGUUCACGACACUGAAAAGUUUUCUAGAGCCCCUUUUCAGUCAAGACCCAUUCCUCCAGAUCAUCAGUGCAACUACUCAUAUCAUCAGUUCUCCCAAUGAUCUGGUCAGACAUGGUCUGAAAUUUAUCUUGGAUCUGCUGCAGGAGUUUCUGCACCACUGAGGACCAACAAUUCAUCCUCUUGAGCUUCCUGGUCUUCUGACAACAUUAAAUUUUCUGAGGAAUGGUUAAUAAAAAUCAGAAGAAAAGGAUAUGAACACCACAGUCUGUGUUUCAGUUCAGGGGGGAGUUCGUGCAAAUCCCAUUUAUUCUCCAGCUGGUGGAGCUGAGACUGCUGAAGCUGGGUGAGAGGCUGAGAUGUGGAACUCAUGUGGAAGUCCUGCCAUCGCCACCAGCCGAGCAGGCCUAGAGACACACUGCGCAACCUGCACACUGCCUCUUCCGUUCUGGGGAGCUGUCAGCUCAGGAUUACAUUCUUGAUUUCUUUUUUAGAUUGUUCACUGUUGGCAUAUAAAAAAGAAACUGAUUUUUAUAUGUGGAUUUGUAUCCUGCAAUUUUACUGAAUUUGUUUUUCAGUUCUAAGUUUUUUUUAUGGAGUCUUUAGGUUUUUCCAAAUAUAAAAUCAUAUCAUCUGCAAAUAAGGAUAAUUCGACUUCGUCCUUUCCAAUUUGGAUGUCCUUUGUUUCUUUCUCUUGUCUGAUUGCUCUAGCUAGGACUUCCCCCUUUAUUUAACUCUUUACUACAUAAAUAAAUGUUUCAUUUUGAC